AAAUGUUGACCAAAUGUGUACAUGACGUCAGCAGGCAUCCAUCCGCAACUGGGUUGGCAUUCAGCGGGGGGAUCUCGUCCGAGCUUGUUGCCUGCCGUCGCGGCAGCUAUCCACAAAGAGCGCGCCACCACCAGUCGCUGACAGUUGCUCCUGGCAGUAGAUGCCACCAGUAGAACUUCUCGUAGUGUGUGCGCGCGCUAAUGAUCAUCACUCGUUGGUAUUGAACACGCAAUAAACAGGUAAGGGCUCGUACUGCUAUAAAAUACGAGUGUACAAACUACAUAUGCCGUACGUACUUCGGAAGCCAUUAAAAAGCCAAGGACGAGAACGACAGAAGAUAUUGUUCCAGCCCUGCGAGCAGCUAUUCCAACGUAUUACAGGAUGGCUCCCCUUAGCUUGAUGCUCCUACGCUGGCUAAGUCGUGGAUUACAUGUGAGAGGAGGCAUGUCUCAUGACCCUUGGCCACGGCAGAACUAUGGAUAACCCAGAGCCAGGCGGCCAACACACGCGCCUUGAGUUUUGCUUUUGAAUGCUUCCAACCACCAUCCCAACCUCGUCUUCAUGUCGCGUCGUUUGUGAACCGCACUUGAUUACCCUCUUGGUGAACUAGGGACUUCACGGAUGAAAGCUCAAUCACGGCAACCUCAGAGUAUAGCUGUACAAACAUAGUGACUGUCAGCCAUCAAAGCUAUGAUCUAUGCUCGCAACCACGCAAAAAUUGCGUUCUGUUUGCCUUAAUUUACAGUCAAAACUAACCACUAACUGCCAACUGCCAUAAGACGGCCGACUACGGUAUUGCUACCUGUUUCCCUCUGUGAGGCGAAG
rnacentral:lncRNA from 1 species